rnacentral:tRNA from 1 species
ACGGCCUGGGCGGGGUCGCGCAGGUCGAUGCCGACGACCUCCAGGCGGUGGAUCCAGUCCGCCGAGUCGUCC